rnacentral:misc_RNA from 1 species
AGAAUUGUGAUUGCUUGCAAGGUAUUUUCGUUUCCUAUUCUAUUCUAAAUGUCUCACUGAUCCACUUCAAGAAACUGGAUGAUCUGAGAUUUGAAUUUCGCCAAUUCUUUUGCUAUAUUGAGUACGAAAGGAUCUUUCUGUGUGAAUUCUGCUGUACUUUUGGUAUGUUCAUCAUUCAUAAAUGAAGAUUUUCAGAAUCGCGUAGUUUAUAUUAAAGUGCCA